UGGGCUAUCGCCAAGUGGUAAGACACAGCACUUUGAUUGCUGUAUGCGCUGGUUCAAAUCCAGCUAGCCCAG
rnacentral:tRNA from 1 species